UGGCGACCGGCGCACGGGUGCGUAACGCGUAUGUAACCUACCUAUAACAGGGGCAUAACACUGAGAAAUUGGUACUAAUUCCCCAUAAUAUUCGGAGAGGCAUCUCUCCGGGUUGAAAACUCCGGUGGUUAUAGAUGGACAUGCGUUGUAUUAGCUAGUUGGUGAGGUAACGGCUCACCAAGGCAACGAUACAUAGGGGGACUGAGAGGUUAACCCCCCACACUGGUACUGGGACACGGACCAGACUCCUACGGGAGGCAGCAUG
rnacentral:rRNA from 1 species